rnacentral:rRNA from 1 species
AUGCAAGGUAUGGCCUUAGCUAUCCAACACUCGGAUCUUCCAGUCGUCGUCCAGUCGGAUUCUUCUGAAGCCUUAGCGAGCCUUUAGAGCAAUGUUUUAACUCGCUCGGCUUAUGGUCACUUGGUCCUAGAGAUUAAGGAGUUCAUGAGUAAUAGGAAGUUUGUACCUCAGAAAAUCUAUCGCACUCAGAAUAGAGUUGCUGAUCGGUUCGCCAAUUAUAGUCGUUCCGAGCGAGCUACAGCUGUGUGGUUGCAUUCGGUUCCACCUUGUAUUGAGGGUUUGUGGCCUCUCAACUGUAACACUAUGACAUUUUAA